UUCAAGUGAUACUACAUAAUUUUAAAAAUAUUUAUUUAUUUAUUUCACCUUUAUUUAACCAGGUAGGCUAGUUGAGAACAAGUUCUCAUUUGCAACUGAGAUACCAAGAUAAAGCAAAGCAGUUUGACACAUACAAUCAAUAAUACAGCAGGAAAAUCUAUAUAAAGCAUGUGCAAAUGACGUAGGAUAAGAGAGGUAAGGCAAUAAAUAGGCCAUGGUGGCAAAGUAUAGCAAAUAAACACUGGAAUAGUAGGAUGUGCAGAGGAUGAAUGUGCAAGUUGAGAUACUGGGGUGCAAAGGAGCAAGAUAAAUAAAUAAAUACAGUAUGGGGAUGAGGUAGAUUGGAUGGGAUAUUUACAGAUGAGCUAUGUACAGGUGCAGUGAUCAUCUUAACCACAUUAUAUUGUGUUUCAUUUUGGUGUCUCUGGACUAUGUUCAAAUUCAUAGUUGCCUAACAGGGAUCAAAUAGAAUUGAAUGUAAUUGAAUUUCCUCAAACAUAGUUUGUGUGUGUGAAUAGUGUUGUUUCAUCCCAACUCCACUUAGCUGUAGCUCCAGUUUAUACUAUUGUGCAUUCUCCAUACAUUGGUAAUGAUCUUGUUGUAUUAGCUACAUUACAAUAGUUUUUCCCUCCUAUUGAUUUGAUCUGUAUAUAUUCCACAGCCCUGAAAAUCCACAUAUCCCAGAGCACAGCUGAGAUCCUCACUCAGAUAGGCUCCUUUGAGCUGGAGGAGAGAGGAGACAUUGAGAUAAAGGGAAAGGGCUGUCAGAAGACCUUCUGGCUGUUGGGUAAAGAAGGCUUCAACCCUCCUCUACCAGUCCACACCUCUCCCCCAGCUUCAUGUCUCAAACCACCAACUGAGGUCAAACCAGCAACAUCCAAAGACCAAGAGAGCAAAGCGAGGGGAAGAGGACAGAGAACUCUGACCACUUUCACAUGACCAAGGCACGCACGCUGACUGCAGGGAGAGGAUGACCUACAGGCGAACUCAGGCCACACUGAAAGUCUUUCUUUUUUUUGCCAACAUGGUUGUUAAUGGCAGCUAUUUUUCUAGUAAUGAUCUUGUUUAGUACAUUAAUACAAAGAUGAAUUAGUCAUCACAUUACUGGUUUCUGGAUUUGUUCACAUGAAAACGGGUCAUUUCUUAGCAGAAUAAUUUAUUUGCAGAAAGGGCAUUUUACAUGUUUUGUUGUCACAUGCCUUUGUUAUACGAGGUUUGAAUGGAAUGUAGUUACACGUAAAUGAAUGUAUGUGGAGAUGUGUACUUUUUGUCAACAAGGUUAGAAUUAAUUUAAUAUAUAAAAUAGACUAAUGGGGAACAAUUAUUGUACUUUUUAUUAUUUUGAAACAGGAUACUUGUACUGCAGGUUACAUUAAACAUUUAUAUUGUUAGAAUUGUAAAAGUAUGUACUGAUAACUAGAAGCGAUGAGAACAUGGGUGGAUGUUCUGUAAUGUCACUGUGAAUGUACUGCACAGUUUGUAAAGCUUAAUACAGUAUGGAAUGUGUACGUACACUCCCUGAGACCUGAUGAGCAUGUGUGCAUGUAUGUUUCUUUGUUUCCACGUGUGAUAGCACUUAAAUACACUACCGGUCAAAAGUUUUAGAACACCUACUCAUUCAAGGGUAUUUCUUUAUUUUUACUAUUUUCAACAUUGUAGAAUGAUAGUGAAGGCAUCAACACCAUGGAAUAACACAUAUGGAAUCAAGUAGUAACCAAAUUAGUGUGAAACAAAUCAAAAAUCUAUUUCAUAUUUGAGAUUCUUCAAAAAGACACCACUCUUGGCAUUCUCUCAAGCAGAUUCAUGAGGUAGUCACCUGGAAUGCAUUUCAGUUAACAGGUGUGCAUUCUUAAAAGUUAAUUUGUGUAAUUUCUUUCCUUAAUGCAUUUGAGCCAAUCAGUUGUGUUGUGACAAGGUAGGGGGGUAUACAGUAGUAUACAGCCCUAUUUGGUAAAAGACCAAAUACACAUUAUGGCAAGAACUGCUCAAAAAAGCAAAGAGAAGUGACAGUCCAUCAUUACUUUAAGUUAUGAAGGUCAGUCAUUUCAAGAAUUUUGAAAGUUUCUUCAAGUGCAGUCGCAAAAACCAUCAAGCGCUAUGAUGAAACUGGCUCUCAUGAGGAUUGGCACAGUUAAGGUAAGACUCAGAGUUACCUCUACUGCAGAGGGUAAGUUAAUUAGAGUUACCAGCCUC
rnacentral:lncRNA from 1 species